rnacentral:lncRNA from 1 species
AGUUAAUACGCCGCUCCGUCAAUAUAUACACAUGUUGUCUGUCAAAGGUCCCCUCUAAAAAGAAUAUUAAUAUGCUAAGUCCACGAUAAUAUACUUGAGUAUCACGUGACACCACCUUCCUACUCGCGCGCGUGUCUAAUUUUAGAUUUAAAAGGAUUCCCAAACUAUGUAUAGAACUGAAACGUAGUCUACGGAAAAGAAAAAAAAAAGGGGGGGGUGAAGA